CCUACGGGAGGCAGCAGUGGGGAAUAUUGCGCAAUGGGCGAAAGCCUGACGCAGCGACGCCGCGUGAGGGAUGAAGGUCUUCGGAUCGUCAACCUCUGUCAGCAGGGCAGAACGGUCACUGUGCUAAUCAGCAGUGAAUUGACGGUACCUUCAAAGUAAGCACCGGCUAACUCCGUGCCAGCAGCCGCGGUAAUACGGAGGGUGCGAGCGUUAAUCGGAAUUACUGGGCGUAAAGCGCUCGUCGGCGGUAUGUCAAGUCAAGGGUGAAAUCCCCGCGCUCAACGUGGGAACUGCCUUUGAAACUGGCAAACUGUAGUGUGUGAGAGGAGAGUGGAAUUCCAGGUGUAGGAGUGAAAUCCGUAGAUAUCUGGAGGAACAUCAGUGGCGAAGGCGACUAUCUGGCACAUAACUGACGCUGAGGAGCGAAAGCGUGGGUAGCAAACAGGAUUAGAUACCCCAGUAGUC
rnacentral:rRNA from 1 species